ACACCUUCCCCCCCUCCAAAAAAACCCACCCAGCUACAACCACGGGACAGAACCAGGGGGGCCGGGACAUCCCCGAGGCGAAGGCCGGAAGCUGGAGAGGGGCCGGGCUCCCGCAAGGAGUUGGAGACGGGAGCUGCUCGCAACACGAAUGAACACCCGCCCACCCCCAUCUCGCCAGGCCCGGCAGUAGCAAGUUUUUUCCACGGAAGCGCUGCCUGCCCCGCCAAUCCGGGCCCUGCGGGGCAGGGGGACCCCGGCUGCGGCUUUAAAAGCGGAGCCCUUUGUGCGCCGGGCUCCGGAUCGGGAUGUGCUGUGCCGUGCCGGGAUGUGCCGUGCCGUGCCGGGAUGUGCCGUGCCACCGGCAGCCGCCACCGCCGCCAGGAAGAGCCUUGGACCACGCUGCACCAGCAGCCCCGGGACCCGAGCAUCCCCCUCGGCAGGUAUUUCAUCCCCCUCCCCUGCACCCCAAUAAACGUGUGGCAGGCCGGCUUGCCCCGCUCGCCGUUUUGCCGGGUCUGGGGUGGUUGCCUUUUAUUA